rnacentral:SRP_RNA from 1 species
GCCGGGAGUAGUGGCGUGCUCCUGUAAUCCAGCUACUUGGAGGCCGGGUGUAGUGGGUGACUCUGAUCGUGUAAUUCAGGUUAACGGUCGGCGGGACGCUCCGACCAAGCGUUCUCGCCGGUCGAUAGGGUAAUAUCUAACCCAU